GAACGGAGGCUAUAACAUUUUGUGGAGCACAGAAGAUAUAACGAGACUGAAUAGCGAUCCGAAGACUAUGUGGAUGUCCUAUGCGAUAGGAUUUAACUUUGUCGAGCACAAGCCUCGUUUGAUGG